rnacentral:tRNA from 1 species
GCCUGGCUGGCUCAGUUGGUGGAGCAUGUAACCCUUGAUCUCAGGGUUGUGGGUUCAAGCCCCGCGUUGGGUG